rnacentral:rRNA from 1 species
AUACGUAGGGUGCAAGCGUUAAUCGGAAUUACUGGGCGUAAAGCGUGCGUAGGCGGUUUUGUAAGACAGAAGGGAAAUCCCCGGGCUCAACCAUGGGACUGCCUUUGUGACUGCCAGGCUAGAGUAAGGCAGAGGGGGAUGGAAUUCCGCGUGUAGCAGUGAAAUGAGUAGAUAUUCGGAGGAACACCGAUGGCGAAGGCAAACCACUGGACCUGUACUGACGCUCAUGCACGAAAGCUUGGGGAGCAAACAGGAUUAGAUACCCUGGUAGUCCACGCCCUAAACGAUGUCAACUGUUUGUUGGGUCUUCAUUGACGCAGUAACGAAGCUAACGCGUGAAGUUGACCGCCUGUGGAGUACGGCCGCAAGGUUGAAACUCAAAUAAAUUGACGGGU